rnacentral:misc_RNA from 1 species
AAAGUCGUAACAAGGUUUCCGUAGGUGAACCUGCGGAAGGAUCAUUAUUGAAUAAAUCUGACAUGGUUGUAGCUGGCUCCUCGGGGCAUGUGCUCGCCUGUCACCUUUAUCUUUCCACCUGUGCACACACUGUAGUCCUGAAUACCUCUCGCCGCAAGGCGGAUGCAGAGACUGCCGUUCCACCUUCGGGAGGUCGGCUUUCUCUGAAUUUCCAGGUCUAUGAUUAUCACAUACCCCAAUUGAAUGUUUCAGAAUGUUAUCAAAAGGGCCUUGUGCCCAUAAACCUAUACAACUUUCAGCAACGGAUCUCUUGGCUCUC